rnacentral:rRNA from 1 species
GCCUACCAAGGCAACGAUCUGUAGCUGGUCUGAGAGGACGAUCAGCCACACUGGGACUGAGACACGGCCCAGACUCCUACGGGAGGCAGCAGUGGGGAAUAUUGGACAAUGGGCGAAAGCCUGAUCCAGCAAUGCCGCGUGAGUGAUGAAGGCCUUAGGGUUGUAAAGCUCUUUUACUAGGGAUGAUAAUGACAGUACCUAGAGAAUAAGCUCCGGCUAACUCCGUGCCAGCAGCCGCGGAUACGGAGGGAGCUAGCGUUGUUCGGAAUUACUGGGCGUAAAGCGCGCGUAGGCGGUUUUUUAAGUCAGGGGUGAAAUCCCGGAGCUCAACUCCGGAACUGCCCUUGAAACUAGAAAACUAGAAUCCUGGAGAGGCGAGUGGAAUUCCGAGUGUAGAGGUGAAUUCGUAGAUAUUC